rnacentral:rRNA from 1 species
CCUACGGGUGGCUGCAGUGAGGAAUAUUGGUCAAUGGGCGUAAGCCUGAACCAGCCAAGUCGCGUGAGGGAGGAAGGUUCUAUGGAUCGUAAACCUCUUUUAUAAGGGAGUAAAGUGUGGGACGUGUCCUAUUUUGUAUGUACCUUAAGAAUAAGGAUCGGCUAACUCAGUGCCAGCAGCCGCGGUACUACAGAGGAUCCGAGCGUUAUCCGGAUUUCUUGGUGUUAAAGGGUGCGGAAGCUGCCUUUUAAGUCAGUGGUGAAGGUCUGUGGCUCAACCAUAGAAGUGCCGUUGAAGCUGGGGGGCUUGGUGAUGUGUGAGGCAGGCGGAAUGCGUGGUGUAGCGGUGAAAUGCUUAGAUAUCACGCAGAACCCCGAUUGCGAAGGCAGCCUGCCAAGCCAUGACUGACGCUGAUGCACGAAAGCGUGGGGAUCAAACAGGAUUAGAUACCCGGGUAGUC